UAGACCUAAAUAGAAUCAGUUUAUGUGGGGUAUCCGCGGUGAUUUCCCUUUGGAUUAUCUGUUAAAAUCGCUGUCAUCACCAAAUAUUUUGAGAUUGACUUAGGACGGAUCUACACCACCAUUCUACAUGUGACCGCCAGCCACACUGACGAUUACCAGUGGCAACAGACAUCGCCGUGGUAACCACCCUGGAAAUGAUGCAGCGUUGUCUUGACGACCAAAGAAGAGUUAAUCCUAGUGAAUCGUACCCAAGAGUUAUUGCCCCUGGAGGCCAGCGGUAUGGAGAAGUUGGAGAAAAUCUGACAAGUGGAAUGUCAUUUACCAUGCAGGGCUAUCCACCGGUCAACCAGAGUGGAGGCCACCACUCCCCCUCAGUGCACCACCCUUUGUCUCACCCUGGCAUUCCACAACAGGCUCCGCCCUCGGCCCCGCCCUCCAUCACCCAGCCAUCCAUCUCGACGCAGGCUCAGGUAUCGGCGGCACAGGGGGCGGCCCAAGUCGUGAGUGACAUGUUUACACAUUCGGCUCAGGUUCAAGGUCAACAGCAGCAGUUUCAGAGAUUAAAGGUCGAGGACGCACUGUCGUACCUAGAUCAGGUGAAGCUGCAGUUUGGAAACCAGCCGCAAGUCUACAACGACUUCCUCGACAUCAUGAAGGAGUUCAAAUCUCAGACCAUUGAUACGCCAGGUGUAAUCAAUCGCGUAUCAAACCUCUUCAAAGGUCAUCCUGACCUCAUUGUGGGUUUCAACACCUUCCUACCACCUGGCUACAAGAUCGAGGUCCAGUCUGAGGUCAUCAACGUCCACCAGCCGGGUCAACAGGUCAUCUCCAUACAGCAUUGUGUCACUCCCAUUGCACCACAGAGUAAACCCGUGCCCCAUGUGCCCACCCCACCCGCCCACCCCGUAGCCCCUCCCCCACAGCAUCAUUCCUAUCACCACUCGCCACGACAACCGGAACCGACGCCAGUUGUUCCUCAACCGCAACCGCAGACCCAACCCCCCCAACAACAGCACCCCCUCCCCCAUGUCCCUCCACCCCAACCACCCCCACCACAAGCGCAACCACAGCAGCAGCCGCAGCAGCAGCCCCAAGCGAGUCAGCCGGUGGAGUUCAACCACGCCAUCAACUACGUGAACAAGAUCAAGAAUCGAUUCCAGGGCCAGCCAGAAAUCUACAAACAAUUUCUCGAGAUUCUACACACAUACCAGAAAGAACAGCGCAACCUAAAGGAAGUGGGAUCAGUACAGGGCCUCGUUCCCCCGGGUUACAAGCCGCUGACGGAGGCGGAGGUGUAUGCGAAGGUGGCCAAGUUGUUUCAGAACCAGGAAGACUUGCUCAACGAGUUCGGGCAGUUUCUACCCGAUGCGAACGGCUCGUCCUCGUACCUCGCCGCUUACGUUAGCGUAAGUAACUUCACAAGCGACUCUGUGCUGGGCGUGCGUAACGACCACUCGUCCACAGUUAAGAAACCAGGUUUCAACAACAAGAACCAGUCGAGUAAGAGCAGUCAGAUAAAACGAACGCUGUCUGGAUCGCAGGGCCCUAUCAAGAAGCUCAAGACGAGCCACCUGAAGGACAUCUCACUGGCGGAGGCUGGCAAAUACGGGACACUCAACGAGUUCGCCUUCUUCGACAAGGUGCGGAAGGCGUUACGCUAUCAGGAAGUGUACGACAACUUCCUGCGAUGUCUCGUGCUCUUCAACCAGGAAGUGAUCUCCAGGUCGGAGGUCGUGCAGCUGGUACAGAACUUUCUCGGGAAAUUUCCCGAACUCUUCAAGUGGUUCAAAGAUUUCCUCGGCUACAAGGAGUCGGGCGGCAGUGUGGAGUCCAUUUCUCAGAAUGCCGUCAAGGAACGAAUCAGUGGAGACCUUGCUAUGGAUAUUGAUUUUGCCACGUGUAAGCGUUACGGUGCCAGUUACCGGGCCCUGCCCAAGUCGUACUACCAGCCCAAGUGUUCUGGAAGGACGGCGCUCUGUAAGGAGGUUUUAAAUAACACGUGGGUUUCCUUCCCCUCCUGGUCGGAAGAUUCCACUUUUGUCACGUCACGCAAAACACAAUACGAGGAGCAUAUCUAUAGAUGUGAGGAUGAGCGAUUUGAGCUUGACGUUGUCAUAGAAACGAACCUCUCGACGAUUCGGGUAUUAGAAGCAGUCCAGAAGAAAAUGUCUCGAAUGACGUCCGAAGAGGCGGCCAAAUUUAAACUGGACAACACACUGGGCGGGUGUUCGGAGGUCCUGCACAGAAAGGCCAUACAGAGAAUAUACGGUGACAAGGCCCCCGAUAUUAUUGAUGGUUUGAGAAAGAAUCCCGUGGUGGCAGUUCCUCUAGUACUGAGACGGUUGAAGGCUAAGGAGGAGGAGUGGAGAGAGGCCCAAAGAGGGUUUAAUAAAAUCUGGCGCGAGCAGAACGAGAAAUAUUAUCUGAAGAGUCUUGACCACCAGGGCAUCAACUUCAAACAGAAUGACAUCAAGUCGAUACGGUCAAAAGCCUUGUUGAACGAAAUCGAAACUAUAUUCGACGAGCGUCAGGAGCAGCUACAAGAGGGGGGCAGUGAGUCGACGUCGUCGGAGCCCCACCUGUCUCUGUUCUACAAGGACAAGUCAAUCAUCGAUGAUGCAGCGUCACUCAUCAUCCACCACAUGAAGAGACAGGCCGGAAUUCACAAAGAGGACAAGAGGAAGAUCAAACAGCUGCUGUACCAGACACUGCCCGAUCUGUUCUUCACGCAGCGCAGCGAGCUUAGUGACGACGAGGCUGACAAAGACGAGGACAUGGACACGGAUGAGAUUAAGAAAGAGCCGGAGAUAAAGAUGGAGGAAGGGGAGACAAUUGCUGCAGACCCCGCUGACAGCCGAAUUACGCUGAACGGCAACAAAGAUGAGAAACCUAAAGACGUUGUCGUCAAAACGGAGGACGACACACCGGUUGCUCCUGACUCGCCCGUUGUCAACGGCAAUGAUUAUUCGUCCCCGACAGAAACUCCAGACAGAUCGACAGAUGAUGACCUGUACACCCUGUUCUAUGUGAACAACAACUGGUAUUUGUUGCUGCGACUGCACCACCUGUUGUGUGAGCGACUUCACAAGAUCUAUAUCCACACCCAGAAAAUCAUUGAGGAGAACGGUCACUGUCGACGCGAGAGGAAGGAGUCGACGGCCACGUCACUCCGACUGCGCACCCCGUUUGAGAUUGACCCCGUCGACUAUUACCAGUACCUGCUGGACAUGGUGAAGAGCCUGUUGGACGGUAACAUCGAGUCGGGCCACUAUGAGGACCAGCUGCGCGAGAUGUUCGGAAUCCACGCCUACAUCGCGUUCACCAUGGACAAACUGGUGCAGAACUCCGUCAGACAGCUCCAACACAUUGUGGGUGAUGAGUCGAUACAGAAGGUGAUAGAACUGUUCAGUGAAGAGAAGGCAAGUCACGCGACUGGUGGUCGCCUAGCAACGCAGCACCAGCGGCAGUCGGCGGAGGCCAACUACCAGAGACGGGCAGAACAGCUGCUCGCCGAGGAAAACUGCUUUAAAAUAAUCGUGUACCAGAAGGACUGCCAGGUGACGUUUGAGCUGCUGGACACGGAACAUGACCAGUCGGACGACCCGGUGGAGGUCGAGCGGUGGUCGGAGUACGUGGAGCGGUACGUCGCCCAGGACGACACCAUCUCUGACCAGCUCAAGGACCAGCUCACCAAGAAACCCGUCUUUCUGCCGCGAAACGUGCGUCACACUCGACAACACAAUAAGAAUCAGAAAUCUCGCGUGGAGAGAGAGAUGAAGGACAGGGAGGAGCAGCAGGAUGGAGAGAUGGACGCGGCCGAAAUGAGGGAGGAAAAGACCGACACAGACAAAGACUCGUCGCGGAGUCGGCCGGCGGGUGACCUUGACAUUCUGGACAGCACGGGCUGCAAGUUCAACGUGAACUCGUUCAAGAUGGUCUACGUGGUGAACUGCGAGAGUUACCUCUACAAGAGGAUGGCACUGAACAGAGCCAAGGAGUCUCACAAGAAAGUGUCUGUGCGUCUUCACGAGAAGUUCAUGUCGUGGGUCAACAAGUGGUGCGACGUGAACGUCACGGCGGAGGAAGAGUCGAAAACGACGCAGUGGUUGCUGGGCGAUGUCGUCGACUCGAAACACUGUCAAACAACGUGCAACAAGAUCUACCGGCCCGAUAGGGCGCCGUAUUACGAAUACCACAAAUACACCGUGCAGUCGCUCGAACCGACCCCAGAACCCGAACCAGUGACCGAAUAAACCAGAUUUACACUUCUGGGGACUGAACACAAAACAUGAAAUAAAGUGGGCAAAUAUCAAAUCUACUUAAUAUCGCAAAUUUCAGUAGACAAAUGUUAAAAAAGGUUAAAUUAUUUCUUGAAAAGUGAGUGCUAAAAAGGGUUAACAAUAAGUUGAAUAGGUGUUAAAGGGGUUAAUAAUUCUUGAUAGGUAUGUGUUAAAAGGGUUGAUUUUUUUUAUAAGUGAGUGUUGAAAAGGUUAAUAAUUCACGAUAGGAAAGGUUUAAAAGGAUUGGAUUUGUUUUUAUAGGUGAGUUUUGAAAGGGUUAAUAAUUCACGAUAGGAAAGGUUUAAAAGGAUUGGAUUUGUUUUUAUAGGUGAGUUUUGAAAGGGUUAAUCGGGUUAAUAAUUCUUGAUUGGCGAGUGUUAAAGGGUUAACAAUGGACUGAUAGUCCGUCCCAUCAUUCUUUGAAAAUGUUUUUGGUAAAUAAUUUAAGUUUGGUUUGACAUAAGACGAAAAGUAAAAGUGUUUCAGAAAUAACAUAAAAAUACUGUUUCUGUGUGCAAUUUACAAAUCAGUUGACUUAGAAAUAAAUAAUUUGUAGUUUAUUCCAUAGCAUGAAAAAAAGUGGGAUGGACUAUAGUUAUGUAGUAGGGUAAUAAAGAAAUGUAUGUGUUUCUGUUGAGAGUAUAGGUCAAUAAAUGGUUUCUGUUGAGAAUAGUAAGGGUUAAUGGUCGAAUUGGAAGCAAUACAGUUGGUAGAUACAAAUUGAAAUAUUUUACUAAAAUUUCACCCGUUUGGAGAUCAGAAUAAAACUGAAAUUUCACCUGUUUGGAGAUCACAAGUAAAAUUGAAAUUUCACCCGUUUGGAGAUCAGAAUAAAACUGAAAUUUCACCCAUUUGGAGAUCACAAUUAAAAGUGUGAAAUUUCACCUGCUUGGAGAUCACAAUUAAAAGUGUGAAAUUUCACCUGCUUGGCAAUGACAGUUGAAAAGUGAAGUUUCUGUGAGAAGGAAAAUGGACAUGAGAAGGGAAAGGGACGUGUGUUUGGCAGACAUAUUGUUUUGUCUGAGUUCAUUGUUCAUACAUUUGUGUACAUUGUGUUAAUAGUUCAUCACGAAGCUUUUCUUAACGGAGGAACAUGUCAGACUUAUCAUGUGUAGAGUUAGUGGGCGGCGCGAACACCGCCUCGACUGUUUACCUUGAAAUCAUUAUUUAAAAUAAACAUUGAACAGUCA
rnacentral:misc_RNA from 1 species